rnacentral:tRNA from 1 species
CGGGGUGUGGCGCAGUUUGGUUAGCGCGCUUGAAUGGGGUUCAAGAGGUCGCUGGUUCGAAUCCAGUCGCCCCGACCA